GCUUGCAAAUAGAGCAAUCGUCGGAAUGCCACGCUUAUGUAAUAACGUCGAAAAUACCGUGUGUCGCGUAAAAAUGUAGAAACAACACGGGUAACACGCUUAAAAGGGGGAGGAGGAGUAUUGCGCACGUUUUCUGCGUUUUUGCUGAAAAUCACAAGUAAAUUCACGGCAACGAUCCGGCGCACCUGCGUUUCGUUUCGCUUGAUAUCACAGGCGAGCGAUAAAUUUUCAUUGCCACUUCACGUAUUUGGCGCAAGGAAACGAUCUUUUACACGGGGCUACAAUUUUCGAUACAUUCCACGGUGGAACGAAUCGUAUUCGAGCAUCGGGCGCCAUUUUGGUACCAGGGUUAUGUGGUCAUGUUUUCCAUAUCAAUUUUCUGGAAUCACACGAACCCAUCAAUUUCGUAAUUUUUAUUUGUAGUAUUUGACGCAGCAAUGUCACCCGACCUUAACAUUAUUGAAAAUUGUUGGGAAAAUCUUGCCCGAGCUGUAUAUGGAAAUGGCAGACAAUUUGGAAAUAUUGCCGAAUUAAAAAAGUGUAUUCAAGAUGAGUGGGAGCAAUUAAAGCAAAAAACUAUUAAAUAACUCUAUAAAUCUUUGCCAAAGAGAAUGAUCGCUGUUAUUAAAUGUAAAGGAGGCAUAACAUAUUAAGCAUUAAAUAUCAUUCGUUGAUUUAUUGUUAUACACAAUCUUAAGUUAAACGUGCUAUCAUUUCGUCCCACUAUAUUUCCUUAAAAGUUCUUUUCUUUUUAAUAAAAUUGUAUAGAAUGGCGAAAUUCGUUCCAAUUUUAUUUGUGUAUAUUUAUAGAGGUAUUUUGCAAGAAUGUAUAAAAACAAAACCUUGGUUGUAAUGUUAAAUAAAUAAAAAUUA